rnacentral:rRNA from 1 species
UAGCGCCCUCCCGAAGGUUAAGCUACCUACUUCUUUUGCAACCCACUCCCAUGGUGUGACGGGCGGUGUGUACAAGGCCCGGGAACGUAUUCACCGUAGCAUUCUGAUCUACGAUUACUAGCGAUUCCGACUUCAUGGAGUCGAGUUGCAGACUCCAAUCCGGACUACGACAUACUUUAUGAGGUCCGCUUGCUCUCGCGAGGUCGCUUCUCUUUGUAUAUGCCAUUGUAGCACGUGUGUAGCCCUACUCGUAAGGGCCAUGAUGACUUGACGUCAUCCCCACCUUCCUCCAGUUUAUCACAGGCAGUCUCCUUUGAUUUCCCGGCCGAACCGAUGGCAACAAAGGAUAAGGGUUGCGCUC